GACGAACGCUGGCGGCGUGCCUAAUACAUGCAAGUAGAACGCUGAAGGAGGAGCUUGCUUCUCUGGAUGAGUUGCGAACGGGUGAGUAACGCGUAGGUAACCUGCCUGGUAGCGGGGGAUAACUAUUGGAAACGAUAGCUAAUACCGCAUAAUAGUAGAUGUUGCAUGACAUUUGCUUAAAAGGUGCAAUUGCAUCACUACCAGAUGGACCUGCGUUGUAUUAGCUAGUUGGUGGGGUAACGGCUCACCAAGGCGACGAUACAUAGCCGACCUGAGAGGGGGGACGGCCACACUUGGACUGAGACACGGCCCAGACUCCUACGGGAGGGAGCAGGAGGGAAUCUUCGGCAAUGGACGGAAGGCUGACCGAGCAACGCCGCGGGAGUGAAGAAGGUUUUCGGAUCGUAAAGCUCGGUUGUAAGAGAAGAACGAGUGUGAGAGUGGAAAGUUCACACUGUGACGGUAUCUUACCAGAAAGGGACGGCUAACUACGUG
rnacentral:rRNA from 1 species